rnacentral:rRNA from 1 species
UACAGAGGGUGCGAGCGUUGUCCGGAAUCACUGGGCGUAAAGGGCGCGUAGGUGGUGGCUUAAGCGUGCGGUGAAAGCUCGGAGCUCAACUCCGAGUCGGCCGUGCGAACUGGGCUCACUGGAGCAUAGUAGAGGCAGGUGGAAUUCCCGGUGUAGCGGUGGAAUGCGUAGAGAUCGGGAAGAACAUCAGUGGCGAAGGCGGCCUGCUGGGCUGUUGCUGACGCUGAGGCGCGACAGCGUGGGGAGCAAACAGG